UACGGAGGGUGCGAGCGUUGUCCGGAAUCACUGGGCGUAAAGGGCGCGUAGGUGGCGCGGUCAGUCAGCGGUGAAAGCUCGGGGCUCAACCCUGAAUCGGCCGUCGAUACUCCCGGGCUUGAGCACUGUAGAGGCAGAUGGAAUUCCGGGUGUAGCGGUGGAAUGCGUAGAGAUCCGGAAGAACACCGGUGGCGAAGGCGGUCUGCUGGGCAGUAGCUGACGCUGAGGCGCGACAGCGUGGGGAGCAAACAGG
rnacentral:rRNA from 1 species